rnacentral:rRNA from 1 species
GUCCACGCCCUAAACGAUGCGAACUGGACGUUGGGAGCAAUCAGGCUCUCAGUGUCGAAGCUAACGCGUUAAGUUCGCCGCCUGGGGAGUACGGUCGCAAGACUGAAACUCAAAGGAAUUGACGGGGGCCCGCACAAGCGGUGGAGUAUGUGGUUUAAUUCGAUGCAACGCGAAGAACCUUACCUGGCCUUGACAUCCACGGAACCUUUGAGAGAUCGAAGGGUGCCUUCGGGAACCGUGAGACAGGUGCUGCAUGGCUGUCGU